AUGCUCACUUCGGCAGCACAUAUACUAAAAUUGGAACGAUACAGAGAAGAUUAGCAUGGCCCCUGCGCAAGGAUGAUACGUAAAAAAGGAAUGAAAUCGUAACAGUG
rfam:Canis lupus familiaris chromosome 23, whole genome shotgun sequence.